UGUGGGAGCGGGCUUGCUCGCGAUGCAGGCUGCACGGUGAACCUGGUACACCGCGGUGAUGCAAUCGCGAGCAAGCCCGCUCCCACA
rnacentral:misc_RNA from 1 species